UUUUGCGUGUGAUGACUUGCAAGAUGAAUGCCUACAUUGUCUGACAUAUCAGUAUGAUAAAUAAUUGCAAGAGCUGAGGCUUCA
rnacentral:snoRNA from 1 species